rnacentral:lncRNA from 1 species
CAUAAAAUUUUAUGUACAUGUUAAUAAAUAAUACGAAACAACCGUAUAUUAUAUUUAACACUGCCCUCACGUUUGGACUCGAAAUAUUUUGUUAAGCCCGUAAUGUACGUAGACUUAAAUUUAAAAGAAGAAUUAAGAGUCUGACAUGAUUCGAACUUAGAACUUUUUAUUCUAACAUCAUGUUAAAUAAUGCAAAAUAAUCAUUAUUCUCCAUUGAAUAUAAAUAUUAAAAAUAUCGUGCUAUGACAACUUAAGUUUUUGAGAAAACUGUUGUUUCAUAUAACUUAACACAUAUG